rnacentral:rRNA from 1 species
UACGAAGGGGGCGAGCGUUGUUCGGAUUUACUGGGCGUAAAGGGCGCGCAGGCGGCUCAUCUUGUCAGGCGUGAAAGCCCCGGGCUUAACCUGGGAGGUGCGUUUGAUACGGAUGGGCUAGAGUUCGGGAGAGGUGAGUGGAACUGCGAGUGUAGAGGUGAAAUUCGUAGAUAUUCGCAAGAACACCAGUGGCGAAGGCGGCUCACUGGCCCGAUACUGACGCUGAGGCACGAAAGCGUGGGGAGCAAACAGG